UAACUUAAGGUUGAAGGUUUGGUAAUAAGUUAAAUAUUUGACUAAUGCCUUGUCAUUAGUUUAACCUAUAUCAUUAUUUAGCUGUAAAAAAAAAAAAAGGAUAUCGGUCUAUUGAAAGUUUUAGAAACUGGCAAUGAAAGAUUAUUGGAACACAGAACAAUCAAGAUGUUAAUACAAUUAUCUGUUGUUCUAUGCUGUCUCUCAGGUGCAUCUGGGACAUAUGUGGCAUAUUUUCCAAAUUCACUGAUACCUGGUAUUCCGUUGAAAGUUCGAGUUCUGGUUCAAGACUCUGGAGGUCCAGUUUCAGUUUGCGCCGGUGUGAAAUUUGCCGACAACGACUCAGUUGUUGCAGAAAAUACUAUCCCUGUGAACAGCGGUAAGUUCAUUUUAAGAACAUCUUUUUAAGAUCUUUAAAACAUAUUGUCAUUGACAUUAAUUGAUAUAUUUAUAUUAAAGUGAGUUGGUCUAAUUUUCCAAUGUUUUAAAUGUUGAUAAAAUAUUGAAAUGUAUCAUGAGGAUAUUCUUUAGAAAUAUUACAAAAAUUUGUAGAAAAAGUUCUUAGUGAUUAAAAAUGCUUCGUCAUACGGAUUUAACUGAAUCAUCUUAAUA